GAUGAAGAACGUAGCGAAAUGCGAUACUUGGUGUGAAUUGCAGAAUCCCGUGAACCAUCGAGUCUUUGAACGCAAGUUGCGCCCGAAGCCAUUAGGCCGAGGGCACGCCUGCCUGGGCGUCACACGUCGUUGCCCCCCCAUCUACUCCUUUGGGAUUGCGGGGGGCGGAUGAUGGCCUCCCGUGCGCCUCGCCGCGCGGUUGGCAUAAAUGCCAAGUCCUCGGCGACGCACGCCACGACAAUCGGUGGUUGCGAAACCUCGGUUGCCCGUCGUGUGCGGUCGUCGCGCAUCGAGGGCUCGAAAAAAUUGCCGGGUUCCGGCUCGGCUUUCAACGCGACCCCAGGUCAGGCGGGGUUACCCGCUGAAUUUAAGCAUAUCAAAAGCGGAGGA
rnacentral:misc_RNA from 1 species